rnacentral:snoRNA from 1 species
UUGCCCACCUGGACCUCUAAAUGUCCUUGGUGUCUAACACAGGGGGGUAAAGAAACUCUCUCAUAAACCUGUAGUGAAGGCACAAACCCUCACUGCGGAUCCUGUCGGGAGAAACAAGC